UACGGGGGGAGCAAGCGUUGUUCGGAUUUACUGGGCGUAAAGGGCGCGUAGGCGGCCACCGCAAGUCGACUGUGAAAUCUCCGGGCUUAACCCGGAAAGGUCAGCCGAUACUGCGGGGCUAGAGUGCAGAAGGGGCAACUGGAAUUCUCGGUGUAGCGGUGAAAUUCGUAGAUAUCGGGAGGAACACCGGUGGCGAAGGCGGCGACCUGGGUCGAUACUGACGCUGAGGUGCGAAAGCGUGGGGAGCAAACAGG
rnacentral:rRNA from 1 species